rnacentral:rRNA from 1 species
AUCUUCCGCAAUGGGCGCAAGCCUGACGGAGCAACGCCGCGUGGGGGAGGACGCCCUUCGGGGUGUAAACCCCUUUUCUCGGGGACGAAGCACUGACGGUACCCGAGGAAGAAGGCCCGGCUAACUACGUGCCAGCAGCCGCGGUAAUACGUAGGGGCCGAGCGUUGUCCGGAGUUACUGGGCGUAAAGCGCGCGCAGGCGGCGGCGUGGGUCCGGCGUGAAAGCCCCCGGCUCAACCGGGGAGGGUCGUCGGGGACCGCGCCGCUUGAGGACGGCAGGGGCCGGUGGAAUGCCCGGUGUAGUGGUGAAAUGCGUAGAGAUCGGGCGGAACACCCGUGGCGAAGGCGGCCGGCUGGGCCGGUCCUGACGCUGAGGCGCGAAGGCGUGGGGAGCGAACGGG